rnacentral:rRNA from 1 species
AAGUCGUAACAAGGUCUCCGUUGGUGAACCAGCGGAGGGAUCAUUACUGAGUACUACACUCUCUACCCUUUGUGAACUAUUAUACCUGUUGCUUCGGCGGCGCCCGCAAGGGUGCCCGCCGGUCUCAUCAGAAUCUCUGCUUUCGAACCCGACGAUACUUCUGAGUGUUCUUAGCGAACUGUCAAAACUUUUAACAACGGAUCUCUUGGCUCCAGCAUCGAUGAAGAACGCAGCGAAACGCGAUAUGUAAUGUGAAUUGCAGAAUUCAGUGAAUCAUCGAAUCUUUGAACGCACAUGGCGCCUUCCAGUAUCCUGGGAGGCAUGCCUGUCCGAGCGUCGUUUCAACCCUCGAGCCCCUGUGGCCCGGCGUUGGGGAUCUGCCACGGCAGGCCCCUAAAACCAGUGGCGGACCCGAAGGGCCCUCUCCUUUGCGCAGUAGCAUUCGCCUCGCAUCGGGAGUCCUCGGCGUCCUGCCUCUAAACCCCCCACAAGCCCGCUUCGGCGGCACCAAGGUUGACCUCGGAUCAGGUAGGAAUACCCGCUGAACUUAA